ACUUUACCUAGCGGCGGACGGGUGAGUAAUGCUUAGGAAUCUGCCUAUUAGUGGGGGACAACAUCUCGAAAGGGAUGCUAAUACCGCAUACGUCCUACGGGAGAAAGCAGGGGACCUUCGGGCCUUGCGCUAAUAGAUGAGCCUAAGUCGGAUUAGCUAGUUGGUGGGGUAAAGGCCUACCAAGGCGACGAUCUGUAGCGGGUCUGAGAGGAUGAUCCGCCACACUGGGACUGAGACACGGCCCAGACUCCUACGGGAGGCAGCAGUGGGGAAUAUUGGACAAUGGGGGGAACCCUGAUCCAGCCAUGCCGCGUGUGUGAAGAAGGCCUUUUGGUUGUAAAGCACUUUAAGCGAGGAGGAGGCUACCGAGAUUAAUACUCUUGGAUAGUGGACGUUACUCGCAGAAUAAGCACCGGCUAACUCUGUGCCAGCAGCCGCGGUAAUACAGAGGGUGCAAGCGUUAAUCGGAUUUACUGGGCGUAAAGCGCGCGUAGGUGGCCAAUUAAGUCAAAUGUGAAAUCCCCGAGCUUAACUUGGGAAUUGCAUUCGAUACUGGUUGGCUAGAGUAUGGGAGAGGAUGGUAGAAUUCCAGGUGUAGCGGUGAAAUGCGUAGAGAUCUGGAGGAAUACCGAUGGCGAAGGCAGCCAUCUGGCCUAAUACUGACACUGAGGUGCGAAAGCAUGGGGAGCACACAGGAUUAGAUACCCUGGUAGUCCAUGCCGUAAACGAUGUCUACUAGCCGUUGGGGCCUUUGAGGCUUUAGUGGCGCAGCUAACGCGAUAAGUAGACCGCCUGGGGAG
rnacentral:rRNA from 1 species